UUUGUCUCAAUCAAUCAAGAAUGCCUCAACUAGAUAAAUUCACUUAUUUCACACUGGAUCUAGCGCAGAUCGUCUCCAGCCCACUUGAACAAUUUGAAAUAAUACCAUUAAUUCCUAUGAAAAUAGGAAACUUAUAUUUCUCAUUCACAAAUCCAUCUUUGUUUAUGCUACUAACUCUCAGUUUGGUCCUACUUUUGGUUUAUUUUGUUACUAAAAAGGGAGGGGGAAACUCAGUACCAAAUGCUUGGCAAUCCUUGGUAGAGCUUAUUUAUGAUUUCAUGCUGAACCCGAUAAACGAACAAAUAGGUGGUCUUUCCGGAAAUGUUAAACAAAAGUUUUCCCCUCGCAUCUCGGUCACUUUUACUUUUUCGUUAUUUUGUAAUCCCCAGGGUAUGAUACCUUAUAGCUUCACAGUUACAAGUCAUUUUCUCAUUACUUUGGGUCUCUCAUUUUCGAUUUUUAUUGGCAUUACUAUAGUGGGAUUUCAAAAAAAUGGGCUUCAUUUUUUAAGCUUCUUAUUACCUGCAGGAGUCCCACUGCCAUUAGCACCUUUUUUAGUACUCCUUGAGCUAAUCCCUUAUUGUUUUCGUCUUUGUUUAUGCUACUAACUCUCAGUUUGGUCCUACUUUUGGUUUAUUUUGUUACUAAAAAGGGAGGGGGAAACUCAGUACCAAAUGCUUGGCAAUCCUUGGUAGAGCUUAUUUAUGAUUUCAUGCUGAACCCGAUAAACGAACAAAUAGGGGUCUUUCCAAAAAUGUUAAACAAAAGUUUUCCCCUCGCAUCUCGGUCAGUUUUACUUUUUUGUUAUUUUGUAAUCCCCAGGGUAUGAUACCUUAUAGCUUCACAGUUAUAAGUCAUUUUCUCAUUACUUUGGGUCUCUCAUUUUUUAUUUUUAUUGGCAUUACUAUAGUGGGAUUUCAAAAAAAUGGGCUUCAUUUUUUAAGCUUCUUAUUACCUGCAGAAGUCCCACUGCCAUUAGCACCUUUUUUAGUACUCCUUAAGCUAAUCCCUUAUUUUUUUUUAGCAUUAAGCUCAGGAAUACGUUUAUUUGCUAAUAUGAUGGCCGGUCAUAGUUCAGUAAAGAUUUUAAGUGGGUUCGCUUGGACUAUGCUAUGUAUGAAUGAUCUUUCAUAUUUUAUAGGGGAUCUUGGUCUUUUAUUUAUAGUUCUUGCAUUAACCGAUCUGGAAUUAGGUGUAGCUAUAUCACAAGCUCAUGUUUCUACGAUCUUAUUCUGUAUUUACUUGAAUGAUGCUAUAAAUCUUCAUCAAAGUGCUUAUUUUUUUAUAAUUGAACAA
rnacentral:lncRNA from 1 species